GUUCAAGCUUUACUGGAUGGCCCAGAAAAUGGGAGAUCACGGGAGGGACAUUCCUCUGGAGACGCAAUUUUUGCUAGUCGAGACUAAGGAUGGUUCCCAACUCGAAUCCGACUACGGAAACGAAGAGAAUCAGAUAAUUUACACAGUUUUCCUUCCUUUGAUUGAAGGAUCUUUUAGAGCUUCUUUGCAGGGAAACAUGAACGACGAGCUCGAGCUCUGUUUGGAAAGCGGCGACCCUGAAACCAAAGCGUCGUCGUUUUCGAACUCUUUGUUCAUUCACGCCGGUACAGAUCCGUUUGGUACGAUUGCAGAUGCAAUAAGAUCAGUUAAGUUACAUUUAAAAACUUUCCGUCAACGGCAC
rnacentral:misc_RNA from 1 species